AGAGUUUGAUCCUGGCUCAGGAUGAACGCUGGCGGCGUGCUUAAAACAUCCAAGUCGAACGCAGUGCCUUUGCUUCGGUAGGGGCAGCUGAGUGGCGGACGGGUGCGUAACACGUAGGAACCUGCCCCAGAGAGGGGGAUAACCGUUGGAAACGACGGAUAAUCCCGCAUACGCUCCUUCGGGAGAAAAGCUACGGCGCUCUGGGAUGUGGCCUGCGGCCUAUCAGGUAGUUGGUGGGGUAAUGGCCUACCAAGCCUACGACGGGUAGGGGGCGUGAGAGCGUGGCCCCCCACACGGGAACUGAGACACGGUCCCGACGCCUACGGGCGGCAGCAGUGAGGAAUAUUGCACAAUGGGCGAAAGCCUGAUGCAGCGACGCCGCGUGCGGGAAGAAGGCCUUCGGGUUGUAAACCGCUUUUCUGGGGGACGAGCAAGGACGGUACCUCAGGAAUAAGUCCCGGCUAACUACGUGCCAGCAGCCGCGGUAAUACGUAGGGGCAAGCGUUAUCCGGAAUCACUGGGCGUAAAGGGCGUCUAGGCGGCAAGGCAAGUCUCGCGUAAAAGCUCCCGGCUCAACUGGGAGAGCGCGCGGGAAACUGCCUGGCUAGAGACUCGGAGAGGGGUGUGGAAUUCCCGGUGGAGUGGUGAAAUGCGUUGAGAUCGGGAGGAACACCAGUAGCGAAGGCGGCACCCUGGCCGAGUUCUGACGCUGAAGCGCGACAGCGUGGGGAGCAAACGGGAUUAGAUAUCCCCGGUAGUCCACGCCGUAAACGAUGACAACUAGGUGUCGGGCAUCUAAGGAUGUUCGGUGCCGCAGCCAACGCUGAUAAGUGUCCGCACUGGGGAUACGGCCGACAGGCUGAAACUCAAAGGAAUUGACGG
rnacentral:rRNA from 1 species